UUUUCCUCCUGGCCUUUUCCUCUCGGCAUUCUACCCUUGUCAGGGGGAAAAAAAAAAAAAAGAUUAUAGACUCCCACUUUAAGUGCCUUACUUCCCUGAGAAUUUUGAUUCUUGUAUUCAAGACCUAUAUGGAGUUUGGUUUAGAUAGAUUUUAUGACACUGGAAUUGUUGAAAAGCAAUAAAUUACUACUGUAAUUUGUUUCUGUUUAUUUCAAAUAUUAGUGAUCUCUGUUUUUAACUUGUUUGGGAAAGAAGGAGCUAUGAACUUUUCUCAGCCUUUGAUGCAGGACUCCAGCUAAACUAGCAAAAGAUGCUGUCUCAAAGAAACUAAACAUUUUUUUCUUUAGCAAUUUAACUUCCUAUUCCUUCAAAAUGUAUCACUAUAAACUUCUUACAAACAGGAACUGUUUCUUCUCUUGGUAUCCUACAGAUUGCUUUAUAUAAAGGUGCAGCAUGGCUAAUAAAACCUUUUGACUAUUUUGAAGUGGUAAGUGUCAUUAUAAUAAUGAUGAUGAUAAAUAGCAGUUAACAUUUACAAAGCCAAUCUGUGGUGCCAGACACUGUUGUAAGCAUUUUACAUAGAGUUGCUCAAUGUAAAACCACUUUUAUCCAGUUGUCUUUAUUUUUUUGGCAAAACUCUUUAAGAAUCUGUGUGCUAUAGUGAAUUCCACAAUUCAGCCUUCAUCUCCCCAACAAGAAUAGCUAGAAUUCCACUGUCAUCCCAUUUUCAUUUUGAUUCCAAGAAACUGUCACUUUUUAGAUCCAUGCUUGUCCGUAAGGUUUGACCUAAAUACACAGUAGGUUGCUGGUCUGCUUAUCUUAGCACAUAAGGCAAUAAACAAAGCCAAAGUAACUUUGUACUUAGUGUAAACUCUUGAUUACCUUCACUGAAGUUAAGAGAUACAAUAAACAUAAUUCAUUUGAAGUCUUUCCUACCUUUUAUUAUUUUUCAGAAAAAUAUCAGGACCAGCUUCCUCAGCAAAUGUAGGGAGAUACAGAUCUUCCUGGACUUAUGAUGAGGUUACAUGCCAAUAAACCUAUUGUAAGUUGAAAAUAUUGUAAAUAAAAAAUGCAUUUAAUACCUCUAACCUACCUUAAACGGGCUCAGAACGCUUAUCUUAGCCUACAGUUGGACAAAAUCAUCUAGCACAAGUCUAUUUUAUAAUAAAAUGUUGCAUAUCUCAUGCAGUUAAUUGAAUACUGAAAGUGAGAAAUAGACUGCAGGUACAGAAUGAUUUUAAGUGUAGGGGUUGUUUACCCUCGUGAUCACAUGGCUGAUGAAGCUGCAGCUCACUGUCCCUGCACAGCAUCAUGAGAAAGGAUCAUACUGCAUACAUAUCACUAGUCGUGGAAAAGAUCAAAAUUCAAAGUAUUGUUUCUACUGAAUGUAUCGCUUUUACACCAUGUAAAGUCAAAAAAGUGUAAGUCGAACCAUCCUAAGUUGGGGACCAUCUGUAUAUGAAACUUCCUUGUAAUAAAGAGUAAUGGAUUGUUCCAUUUAGAAAUAUAACAAAGUAACAAUAGUUUUUUCCCCCCCAAAAUUUCUGUUUUUAAAAGCCAUUUAGGGGCACCUGGGUGGCUCAGUUGGCUGACCAUCUGCCUUUGGCUCAGAUCAUGAUCCCAGUGUCCUGGGAUCUAGGCCCACUUUGGGCUCCCUGCUAAGUGGGGAGUCUGCUUCUCCCUCCCCCUGCUCUUUCUCUCUCCCCCUCUCUCUCUAAUAAAUAAAUAAAUAAAUAAAUAAAUAAAUAAAUAAAUAAAAAUAAAAAGCCAUUUAGUAAGGGUACCUGGGUGGCUCAGUCUGUUAAGCCUCCAACUCUUGAUUUUUGGCUCAGGUCAUGGUCUUGGGGGUCAUGCGAUCGGCCCCUGUGUCAGGCUCUGUACUGGGCGUGGAGCCUGCUUAAGAUUCUCCCUCUCUAUCUUCCCCUUCUCCCCCCUCCAAAAUAAAUAAAUAGCCAUUUAGUCUCAUGCAAUUAUGAAAUUUCACUGUUAAGCAGUGAGUGAAAGGUUGAUAAAACUGCCACUAGACAAGCUUGGGACCUGACUUAUUAAAAAUAGAGUUACUGCAUUUUCUUCUAGACCAUAAGAGGUGUUUUUGCCAAUGAGUGGUAAUUCUUUCACAGAUUUGGGGGAUGGAGGAUAAUCUGGCUUUAUUACUUAGGAAUUUUUAAAGGACUAGCCUAGAACCACUUAUAAAAAUGCUGUUCUAUCAACCAAAGCUCUUUUCUUGGCAAUGUCACAAUUCUGCCAUUUCUGAAGAUUUACAGAUAUUGACCAUUUACAGCCUUAAAGUUUGCUGCAGUCUGGGCACAUAACACCACAAGGCUUUAGUGUAAGUUUAAGACAUUGAUUCAUUUUACUUAAUUCAUUUAUUCUUUCAUUCCAUGUUUAUGAAUGCCUACUAUAUGUAAUAAGAUUUUGAUAACUAAAUUCUAUUUUUAGAUUGUUAAUUCCUGUACAUGGAACAAAAUUUUUAAGGUUCAAGGAAUAUACAGUGAAAAGGAAAUCUUGCACCCCUGUUACCCAGUCAUUCAUCACACCUCCUCAGAGAUGGUGGGCCACGAUAUAUGAUUUCUACUCAUCCUCAUCAUGCUGCCUAGAAUAUAAUCUUCCUGCAACAGUCUUUUCUUCUGAGAUGAAGAGACUUUGUCAAAGUGAUUUCUGUGUGCACCUAUGUCUCCGUUAUAAUGUGGCCUUUUUUGAGGAGAGAAUCCCUUCUCUCAUUCAUCUUUGCUCCCCUGCACAUCAUCAGGUGGUACAUUGCACUUGCCAAUGUUCAACAGAUGCCUUUGAAUCGAUCAGUGGAGCAAGACUUGCUAAAGUGGUAACCUGUUGCCUGGCUUUGUGGAAGUCGUUCAGCUGUGUGUGCCAGCUCUGUGCUCUGUCUUUGCUUUGUGUCUGAAAAUACGGAAACGCCUCACCUGCAGAAGGAGACGAGAGGAGGUUGUCCACACUGUUCUUUCCUUAUGAUCUGCUGUGCAUGGCUGUCGCAUGGCAAGUGUACACAAUGAAGCAUCCAUUCCUUGCCUGCAGGUUCUGAAGGUACCCUGAGCCCAAAGGUUCUGGGGUAACUGCCCUGCUUUAAAUCUCGGCUGCUGUAGCUGCUAGGGCUUCCAACCUCUUUGGUUCCAGCCAUUCCAUAUUGUUAUCAGCAGGAGACUCCCAGGCAUUCUGGAAGGCUCUGCACGAGAGGAGCAACUGCCGCUGUUGCCGUAGCUGCCUGGACCUACAGCAAAGAGCCAAGAAAAAAAUCAUUUCACACCCUGUACACUGAUUUCCCCCAGAGCUGGCAUAGCCAGGCAGUCAACAGAGCCAUGUAAAUCUUCAACCAGCCUGUCUCCUUCAGUAGCUACAGAAACAGUGUUUGUUACCUUUCAGAUUGUAGUAGGUGGGUGAAAAUUGCUAGCAACAGUCUGUUUCUGAAGCUGGAGAGCCAACCAGCAAAAGUUUCUUUUUUUUUUUCUUAAUAUUUUUUAUUUUUUUUAAGAUUUUAUUUAUUUGACAGAGACAGUGAGAGAGGGAACACAAGCAGAGGAAGUGGGAGAGGGAGAAGCAGGCUUCCCGCUGAGCAGGGAGCCCCAUGCGGGACUCUAUCCCAGGACCCUGGGAUCAUGACCCAAGCCGAGGGCAGACGCUUAACAACUGAGCCACCCAGGUGCCCCCAGCAAAAGGUUCAUAGAGGAGAAGGCAGCUUCCAUCAGAGGGGUUUGUCUCUUAUUGCUGCUCUGAGUCCUUUGUGGCCUCAGAGAGCAGACUUCCCCCGAAGAACCUGGAAGUCCAGCUGCCCUGUUAGAUUUAAACCUGCAAAUCAAUGCAUAAUGCAUCUAAGUAUAGCUGUUCAGAAUCUUAGUAAAAAGGAAGUAUUCUGUAACCUGAAAAAAAGAUUAACCUCAGUUCAAGAAAGAACAUAGAGUCAGCACGGGUCGACCCUGAAAACUUAGGAAGAAAGAGGAUCUAUGAGGCAAAUCCUGAUGGUGUUUAUCCAAGUGUUUUUAGGUGAGAGGUUACACUGGUCUGUUCGGUUUUGGAAGCAGGUAAAUUGCUGCUUUGGAGUUGGAUGGAUUUUGUUCUAUCAAACAUUCACGCAUGAAAUAGACAUCCUUAUUUCUAGUUCCACGUUCCGUAAGCAACCUGCUCUUAGAAUCAGAUUUCCAAGAGUUGGUCACAGGACAAGAAUGUUUUUAUUUAUUUAUUUAAUUUUAUUUUUUAUGUUUUAAGUAAUCCUAACGCGGGGCUUCAACUCACUACCCUAAGAUCAAGAGUUGCAUGCUCUAUUGACUGAGCCAGCCAGGCACCCCAGGGUAUGAAUGUUUUAGCCCUUAGCUAUUAUAUUUCUUUCUAUUUAUAUUCAUGAUUUUCAUUAUGAAUACACUGGUGUUCUGGAUUUGAAUACCAGGCUCUGGGAGCGUGAGUGCUUUGGGAGAAGAAUUUGCGAUCUGUGUGUUAACAGAUUGGAUUUCUAAGCCUUUAGGGCUAAGGACCAGAACCUCACUCUGAUGAAAGAUAAGACCAUACCAUGGAGGACCUUUUGUGGUUCCUGGAAACGCCUUGACUAGCCAGUGAUCAAUAUCUUUACUACUCAAACUGCCAAAGUUAUCAGGGUUUUGUCUAUAUUCAGGGACUGGCAGGAUAGAAUUAUGUUUGGGAUCCUGGUCUGGAGUCAAACAGACUUGGUGUAUAUCCUUUCUUUCACUUCUAACUUAAGCAAAUUGCAUAAUCUUUCUGUGCCUCAAUUUUCUCAUCUGUGAUUUGGGCAUUACAGAAGUGUCUACUUGAUGGAAUUGUUAGGAGACAAUGAGACAGCAUGUUAAGCACUUUAUGUAUACUAGGCCCUUAUGUAAUACCUAACAUAAAAUGUUGCUUAAUAAAUAGUAGUUACUCUUCUCUCUAGAGCUCUCACUAGAUGCUAGGCACUGUGCUAAACAUUAAUAUAUUUGCCCAAAAUAAAACAGUUGGCAAGUGGUAGAUCCAGGCCAAACCUAAUGUAUAUGACUACUCUGAUGGUUUAACAAACACAGCAAAACUUGAGCUUCCAAAAAGUAUUGUCUCCUUCAAAGGAAUAAAUUUGGAAGACUGUGUAUUUAUUCCUAAGCCUAUUCAGGACUCCUCUCUUGAACUCAUCCGGACAAAUCUUUGUUCUUUUUUUUUUUUUUUUUUUUAGAGGCGAGGGGCACUGAGGGAGAGGGAGAGAGAGAAUCUUAAGCAGGCUCCAUGCCCAGCACAGAGCCCAGUGCAUGGCUCAAUUGUGAGAUCAUGACCUGAGCCGAAAUCAAGAGUCAGAUGCUUGACUGAUGGAGCCACCCAGAUGCCCCAAAUCUUUGUUCUUUAAGAGAGGAUUUGAUCUUCCUUAAUAACCAAAACUUACUCAGUGCCAAGCCCAGUAAGCAAAGUGGAGAAUUACAGUGGGACAUGCUAUCUUUAGCCUAAAGAUGUGGCUAAGAAAUCAAUUCCACAGAAGUAGCAAAUACCUUUCUGUCACAAAGCAUUUUCUAUCACGGCUGACUUCACUUUCCUAUCACAUUGGUUUUGUAUGGAAUGAAGUAAGAAAAUAUGUAUUGUUAUUUGUAAAUUAGGUUAGCUACAAAUGGGCUAAAUUAUUGUAACUAGUUAGCAGAUUAAUACAAAAUAAAGAAAGUUU